ensembl:snRNA U2 U2 spliceosomal RNA
AAAACUUACCAAACAAGUUUCACAAGUAUAGUAUCUGUUCUUAGCAGUUUAAUAUCUGAUACAUUCUCUAUCCAAGGACAAUAUAUUAAAUGAAUUUUUGGAGCAGGAAGUUGGAAUAGGAGCUUGCUCCGUCCACUCCACGCAUCGACCUGGCAUUGCAAUACUUCCAGAAACAGUGCAUCCCCC